rnacentral:rRNA from 1 species
AUGUCCAUGUAUCUUUUAUCCAAAACUAUACUUGCCAGGAUUGACAAGUGUAGGAGGAGAUUCUUCUGGCAUGUGACCCAGAAUAAAAAACGAUAUUACCCGGUUAAGUGGACUAGAAUUUGUAGAUCCAAGAGUAAAGGGGGGCUGGGUGUGAAAGAUCUUCAUAAGCAGAAUCUCAGCCUGCUUACUAAAUGGUGGUGGAAGUUAGAAACUAAAUCUGGACUUUGGCAGGAUAUUGUGAAAGCUAAGUACUUCAGUAGGGGUACCGUGGCUGAUAUUAAAAUGAAGUGCAAUGACUCACCAUGCUGGAAAGCCAUUAUGAAGGUGAAAUAUCUUUAUAUGGCAGGGAGGAGAGUAAUUGUGCAAUCUGGAAACAUUGCCACACUGUGGGUUGAUCCCAUUGGGGACAAUAUCCCUAUGGCUGAGCAGUUUACUCGUCUUUUCUCUAUUUGCAAUUAUCCUAAGUGCACUAUUGAUAAAUUCUUAAAUGCUGAUCCCUCCUCAUUCUUUAGGAGAAGGUUGAAUAGUGAGCUUAAUGACCAGUGA